rnacentral:rRNA from 1 species
UUGGGCAGAACUCUUGGAGCCUCUAAAACUGGAUUCCAUCAAAACUCCAAAGUGUCUUUGGGCGAGAAUAGUUACUAUGAUGAGUGAUUUCCUGCAAAGUCCUCGUGUUGCACUCU